GUGCACACUUCGGCAACACACAAGUUAAAACUGGAAUGAUGUAGAGAUUAGCUUGGUCUCUUAGUGAGGAAGAUAGACACAUUUGAGAUGUGCUCCACAGUAAA
rnacentral:snRNA from 14 species